ACUUUGGGGCAGCUUAACAUGCAGUCGAACGGCAGCACGGGAGCAAUCCUGGUGGCGAGUGGCGAACGGGUGAGUAAUAUAUCGGAACGUGCCCAGUCGUGGGGGAUAACGUAGAGAAAUUUACGCUAAUACCGCAUACGAUCUAAGGAUGAAAGCGGGGGACCGUAAGGCCUCGCGCGAUUGGAGCGGCUGAUAUCAGAUUAGGUUGUUGGUGAGGUAAAAGCUCACCAAGCCGACGAUCUGUAGCUGGUUUGAGAGAACGACCAGCCACACUGGGACUGAGACACGGCCCAGACUCCUACGGGAGGCAGCAGUGGGGAAUUUUGGACAAUGGGCGAAAGCCUGAUCCAGCAAUGCCGCGUGCAGGAAGAAGGCCUUCGGGUUGUAAACUGCUUUUGUACGGAACGAAAAGGUCUGCCUUAAUACGGCGGGCCCAUGACGGUACCGUAAGAAUAAGCACCGGCUAACUACGUGCCAGCAGCCGCGGUAAUACGUAGGGUGCGAGCGUUAAUCGGAAUUACUGGGCGUAAAGCGUGCGCAGGCGGUGAUGUAAGACAGUUGUGAAAUCCCCGGGCUCAACCUGGGAAUUGCAUCUGUGACUGCAUCGCUAGAGUACGGUAGAGGGGGAUGGAAUUCCGCGUGUAGCAGU
rnacentral:rRNA from 1 species